CUAAGAUUGAAAAUAACAAGCUUGUAUCAUGAUAACCUCAUUUCUGACUGCAUGUUUGUCAUCAUUUUCAUUUCUAGCCAUGGGCAAAUCGGACUGCACAGGAUGAUUUCUGCACAGGAACUAGUGAACUCCACAGGCCCAGAACACACCAGCCUCACAACUCCUCACAACUCCCCAGCCUUAAUGUGUGUAGGCAGGACAAGGAGAACACCGAUUCAAUCCAGAAGAAGAGGAAAAAGAAGAGGCUAAAUGAGAAGGGAACCCAGGUUGAACUAGGCAUGCGGGAGGAUAUCCAUGACCUUGACCUCGCCCAUUGGAGAUUGGCUAGAGAGACAUGGAGAACUGAGCGAGGAAACAUGAGGGAGAUUAAGGCGCUGUAUGGAGAAAUAUUUAGGCUGCACCAACUCUUGGAGGAGAUUGGGGUGGAUAAAGGGGUGAUCAAGCAGCGCUCCACCUCCUCCAUUAUUUGUCCCGUCUCCCCGACACUGCCAGCUUUCCCCUGGUACAACCACCACAGGUACCUCGCCAACAGCCAAUCGGAGCCUGACCAGCAUGCUGCCGGCACCCAGAAGGACCCACCUAAGAAACACUCAAUCUUUCCCCCUCUGGACACACAGAGCUGCACCUCCCCUGAUAAAUGGCCUCAUUCUCCGUCCAAGACGUCAUACCCACACACUUCACACCGAUUUGCUGUC